rnacentral:rRNA from 1 species
AUUGAACGCUGGCGGCGUGCCUAACACAUGCAAGUCGAGCGGCAGCGCGGGAGCAAUCCUGGCGGCGAGCGGCGGACGGGUGAGUAAUGCUUGGGAAUCUGCCUGUUAGUGGGGGACAACCCGGGGAACUCGGGCUAAUACCGCAUACGCACUACGGUGGAAAGCCGGGGACCGCAAGGCCUGGCGCUAACAGAUGAGCCCAAGUCGGAUUAGCUAGUUGGUAGGGUAACGGCCACCAAGGCGACGAUCCGUAACUGGUCUGAGAGGACGACCAGUCACACCGGAACUGAGACACGGUCCGGACUCCUACGGGAGGCAGCAGUGGGGAAUAUUGGACAAUGGGGGAAACCCUGAUCCAGCGACGCCGCGUGGGUGAAGAAGCCUGCGGGUUGUAAAGCCCUUUUCAGUGGGGGAAGAAAAGCCUCGACCUAACACGUCGGGGUCUUGACGUAACCCCAUA